rnacentral:rRNA from 1 species
UACGAAGGGGGCUAGCGUUGUUCGGAUUUACUGGGCGUAAAGCGCACGUAGGCGGGUCGUUAAGUCAGGGGUGAAAUCCCGGAGCUCAACUCCGGAACUGCCUUUGAUACUGGCGACCUUGAGGCUGGAAGAGGUUAGUGGAAUUCCCAGUGUAGAGGUGAAAUUCGUAGAUAUUGGGAGGAACACCAGUGGCGAAGGCGGCUAACUGGUCCAGAUCCGACGCUGAGGUGCGAAAGCGUGGGGAGCAAACAGG